rnacentral:rRNA from 1 species
UACGUAGGGGGCAAGCGUUGUCCGGAAUCAUUGGGCGUAAAGAGCGCGUAGGCGGUCCGGUAAGUCCGCUCUGAAAGUCCGGGGCUCAACCCCGGGAGGCGGGCGGAUACUGUCGGGCUAGAGUCCGGAAGAGGCGAGUGGAAUUCCUGGUGUAGCGGUGAAAUGCGCAGAUAUCAGGAGGAACACCAAUGGCGAAGGCAGCCCGCUGGGACGGUACUGACGCUGAGGCGCGAAAGCGUGGGGAGCAAACAGG